rnacentral:lncRNA from 10 species
GUUCUGCAUGUCACAGAGGAAGUAGGCAUAUUUGAGGAAGACUUUCUCAAGGAUUUUUUUCAGAAGUUACACGGAAUAUGUCUGCCUCUCCUGUCUCACCUCCUUCACCUCUUCCACCUCUGCCACCCUGAGACAGCAAGAAAAACUCCACCCUUUUUUCCUCUUCCUGAGCCUAUCAACAUGAGGACAAUGGGAAUGAAGAUUUUAUGAUGAUCCACACCCACUAAGUGAAUAGGUCUCACCACUGCAGCCAUCAUCAAAAGUGGUUAUUACCAAGACUAGAUUGCAGCUCCGGACAGAGCAGCUGGCAGGGACUCAUAUUGUGAAUUGCAGCUCCAGCUCGACUGCAAGAACAAACCAGCAAUCCCGAGAGGACCCACAGACCCUCUAAAGGAAGUGGACUGCUCCUGCAGGACCUGGGAGACACCCCAAAUAUUAUCUAUAAACUCAAUUUUAGGAAGUCAAGUAUCUUCCCGAAAGUCACACAAGUAAAGAUGGACUUGGGUCUCUAAUCCAUUUGUUUGACUUCAAAACAUGUUAUCUCCAUUCCACUACCUCUUCUGUUCAGUGGAAUGAAAGAGGUUAAAACAGUUCACAGGGUCCAUGGAGUGAAUGAAAAAUGAAAAUGGGAAGAUAAAAUACAGAUUAUAGUUUUCAAGGAUUGGAGCUGGAAGGAGUUGCCUGUUUGAGAGCUGUGUUAAGGUCUGAGAAACAUGUGCAUGUUGUGCACUGCAAGAAAGGAAUCAAGAGGAAGGAGAGGAUGGAGAUAUAGAAGAUGAAAAUCAGCCAGAGUAACAAGGCUCCAGGAAAGCCACAUGGCUAUGUGCAUCCCUUAGAGAAACAAAUUGGAAAAAGGCACCUAAAUCAAUGCUGAAGACACACAGAAUAUUGAAGGAUCAACUCUACUUCUUCGAAAUAUACUUUAAUACUUUCACUGCCAAACCAGAGUUCAAGAAAUAACUGCGGUGGAAUGAUAAUGAGAAGUUUAACAGUUUUAUGAUGGUUGAAGCUGACUUUAUGAAAGUUGAUAAAUUUCAUCUUGUAGGUUUCAAUUUCUCAUUCCCUACCGAGAGAUGGGGAGAAUACAUUGACACUGCAUUUCAAAUUGGCUAGAUCAGAAGGAACAGCAGCUAAAAUCCAUUACAACCCAAUUACAUCCAUCAGCUGAAGCUGUGUGCAUUCACUUGUGAACAUCAGCAUUUAAUCCAUAAAGAGGAACUAAUGAGAAAUUUGAAAAUGGAAUCCACGCAUCAGUAAGUUUAGAGAGAUUUUUCUGGGAUUAAUGAUCUGCCAGAGCAUCUUCAGCAUUCUGGAAAGCUAUUCUCUCUGGGUUUGUUUACUGACCAAGAGAAAAAAAAAGGGGGUUUCCUUCUGUCUGCUCAUCAAAUAUUUGAAAGACUACUCAUUUCAGUCCUUGAAAAUGGGAUACCGUGAGCUUUGGAAGUAAGGUACGUGUUGGUGAACACUGUUGUCAUUGAACAGGAAAAAUUAAAUUAUUAGGUGAGAAGUUUCCACCUAGAGAUUAGUAACAAGUAGCCUGAACAAAUUAUUUUACCUGUAUAGAUGCUAAGACAGAUGUGUUCUUUUAAUUUAAGACCUGAGAGCAUGUUUAGAGUUGCACGUAAUGGCAAUAAUUCUAUGUUGUAGAAAUAGAGAAAUAGUUUUUAUUUUUCACUUUUGGUGAUUGCAUGGAUAGAAAUAAAUAUUCCUCUUGUCGAAUUGCAAUUGCUUAAAGAGUAACAAGGAAGCUUAGAGAGAGUAGAGUAUAAACUUGUUAACAAUUGCAUAACUUCACAUGUACAAUUUCUGAGUUAAUAAACAUAUAGUUUGUGAAAAGUUAACACUGGAUGAAGCUUUAGAAUGCUGUGCAAUUUCUUCUCAUCUGGUGAAAACGGUUUCUGUAAGCAUACAAUUUAGGGAUGUUACUAUAUCCGAGGUCUGGCAAAUGUAGUCAUCAGAUUAAAUAAAUGUAUAUGUGGACUGUGGGGGAUUGGAUCCCCAUGUUUGGAAAGUAAUUUGGUUCAAUUUGUUGCUCUUUGGAGAGAAGGUAAG